UGUAGACCAUGUGGCUUCUGUAGAUCAGAGUCAGUGAAGGUCGACAGUAGGGCUCCAUCUUUGGCCAGAGUGAGAAGCUUGUUGUUUGUUAAGUUAGUGACAAAGAUCCGUUCACCAUCAGGACUUAGUGCACAUUUGAACACUACAAAACAUAAAACAUGUUAGAUACUAUCAGGUAAUGUUAAGAUAGUGACAAAGAUCCGUUCACCAUCAGGACUUAGUGCACAUUUGAACACUACAAAACAUAAAACAUGUUAGAUACUAUCAGGUAAUGUUAAGAUAGUGACAAAGAUCCGUUCACCAUCAGGACUUAGUGCACAUUUGAACACUACAAAACAUAAAACAUGUUAGAUACUAUCAGGUAAUGUUAAGAUAGUGACAAAGAUCCGUUCACCAUCAGGACUUAGUGCACAUUUGAACACUACAAAACAUAAAACAUGUUAGAUACUAUCAGGUAAUGUUAAGAUAGUGACAAAGAUCCGUUCACCAUCAGGACUUAGUGCACAUUUGAACACUACAAAACAUAAAACAUGUUAGAUACUAUCAGGUAAUGUUAAGAUAGUGACAAAGAUCCGUUCACCAUCAGGACUUAGUGCACAUUUGAACACUACAAAACAUAAAACAUGUUAGAUACUAUCAGGUAAUGUUAAGAUAGUGACAAAGAUCCGUUCACCAUCAGGACUUAGUGCACAUUUGAACACUACAAAACAUAAAACAUGUUAGAUACUAUCAGGUAAUGUUAAGAUAGUGACAAAGAUCCGUUCACCAUCAGGACUUAGUGCACAUUUGAACACUACAAAACAUAAAACAUGUUAGAUACUAUCAGGUAAUGUUAAGAUAGUGACAAAGAUCCGUUCACCAUCAGGACUUAGUGCACAUUUGAACACUACAAAACAUAAAACAUGUUAGAUACUAUCAGGUAAUGUUAAGAUAGUGACAAAGAUCCGUUCACCAUCAGGACUUAGUGCACAUUUGAACACUACAAAACAUAAAACAUGUUAGAUACUAUCAGGUAAUGUUAAGAUAGUGACAAAGAUCCGUUCACCAUCAGGACUUAGUGCACAUUUGAACACUACAAAACAUAAAACAUGUUAGAUACUAUCAGGUAAUGUUAAGAUAGUGACAAAGAUCCGUU